GAUGAACGCUAGCGGCAGGCCUAAUACAUGCAAGACGAACGGUAAGUUGAGUAACAAUACUUAGCCAAGAGUGUCGUACGGGUGCGUAACACGUAUGCAACCUACCCUAUACAGGAGGAUAGCCUAGGGAAACCUGGAUUAACCCUUCAUAGUAUUAUUGGAUGGCAUCAUUUGAUAAUUAAAACUGAGGUGGUAUAGGAUGGGCAUGCGUCUGAUUAGUUAGUUGGCGGGGUAAUGGCCCACCAAGACGAUGAUCAGUAGGGGUUCUGAGAGGAAGAUCCCCCACACUGGCACUGAGAUACGGGCCAGACUCCUACGGGAGGCAGCAGUAGGGAAUAUUGGUCAAUGGAUGCAAGUCUGAACCAGCCAUGCCGCGUGCAGGAAGAAGGCCUUCUGGGUUGUAAACUGCUUUUGCCAGGGGAUAAAAUUUCCAUGCGUGGAAAACUGAAGGUACCUGGUGAAUAAGCCACGGCUAACUACGUGCCAGCAGCCGCGGUAAU
rnacentral:rRNA from 1 species